rnacentral:snRNA from 17 species
UGUUUUGUGCAGUGGCAGUAUCAUAGCCAAUGAGGUCCAACUGAGGCAUGAUUAUUGCUAAUUGUGCUGAAGCUUGAUGAAAGGGGAGGAGCUGCUGGCUUAUUUUUUGUUGGGGGCUUCACACAUACUCCUUCUGCCUAAUCAUGCUUCACUUCGUUUGCCC